UACGGAGGGUGCAAGCGUUGUCCGGAAUCACUGGGCGUAAAGGGCGCGUAGGCGGCCCGGUAAGUCGGGGGUGAAAUCCUGCGGCUUAACCGCAGGGCUGCCUUCUAAACUGUCGGGCUCGAGCACGGUAGAGGCAGAUGGAAUUCCCGGUGUAGCGGUGGAAUGCGUAGAGAUCGGGAAGAACACCGGUGGCGAAGGCGGCUCUCUGGGCCUUACCUGACGCUGAGGAGCGAAAGCGUGGGUAGCGAACAGG
rnacentral:rRNA from 1 species